rnacentral:rRNA from 1 species
CUAUGUGUUGUUGGGUAGGGGAGCGUUCUGUAAGCCUGCGAAGGUGUGCUGUGAGGCAUGCUGGAGGUAUCAGAAGUGCGAAUGCUGACAUAAGUAACGAUAAAGCGGGUGAAAAGCCCGCUCGCCGGAAGACCAAGGGUUCCUGUCCAACGUUAAUCGGGGCAGGGUGAGUCGACCCCUAAGGCGAGGCCGAAAGGCGUAGUCGAUGGGAAACAGGUUAAUAUUCCUGUACUUGGUGUUACUGCGAAGGGGGGACGGAGAAGGCUAUGUUGGCCGGGCGACGGUUGUCCCGGUUUAAGCGUGUAGGCUGGUUUUCCAGGCAAAUCCGGAAAAUCAAGGCUGAGGCGUGAUGACGAGGCACUACGGUGCUGAAGCAACAAAUGCCCUGCUUCCAGGAAAAGCCUCUAAGCAUCAGGUAACAUCAAAUCGUACCCCAAACCGACACAGGUGGUCAGGUAGAGAAUACCAAGGCGCUUGAGAGAACUCGGGUGAAGGAACUAGGCAAAAUGGUGCCGUAACUUCGGGAGAAGG